UAGUUUGUCCUUUUUCUAAAGAAGAGGCUGCAGAUGCAACAAAACACAAAAGGCUGAAAAAACUCCAAUCAAAGAAAACCAAGUGACAAAGAACUUAAUGAAUAUACACGCUACGUGUCUGAGUUUGGUCCAACCGAGCCUACAUAGGAGGAAGCUAUUCAAAUUCGGACCGAAAAAGUGGCGGGAGGAAGACAAGGGGAGAACCUAUGGGUUGGGUUCUCGAAAUGAAUUGCAACGCCUCGAGGUUGGAUGGGCUGGUAUUGGUUCCUCGCGCCAGGCUGAGGCGAUUAAUGGUGUUCAGCUCGCUGAUAUGUCGCAACAGAUUGCACAGCUUACACGUGUCGUGGCACAAUCUGUUGCUCAAACUGAAGUCAUGUGCAAGACCAUCGAGGAACUUAAGAAACAAAUGGUUAGCAUGACUCAUCGUUGUCGUCACCGUUCUCUAUCUCCCGAUUCAAGUAGCGAAGAAGAAACAGAAAGUGAUGAGGAGUUUGUUGGGGCUACUCCUUAGUGUUUUUGGAUUUGGCUUCUAGACACUUUUUAAACAUUCUUUAACUUUUAACUAUUGGAAAACCUUCAAGAUCACUUAAGUGUUUUGAUGUUGUUGGAUUAAUUGUUAAGUGUUUUGGAUGUUGUUUAAUUGAAUUGCUUAAAUGUUUUGAUGA